rnacentral:rRNA from 1 species
UGGGGAAUUUUGGACAAUGGGGGAAACCCUGAUCCAGCCAUCCCGCGUGUGCGGUGAAGGCCUUCGGGUUGUAAAGCACUUUUGGCAGGAAAGAAACGUCGCGGGUUAAUACCCCGCGAAACUGACGGUACCUGCAGAAUAAGCACCGGCUAACUACGUGCCAGCAGCCGCGGUAAUACGUAGGGUGCAAGCGUUAAUCGGAAUUACUGGGCGUAAAGCGUGCGCAGGCGGUUCGGAAAGAAAGAUGUGAAAUCCCAGAGCUUAACUUUGGAACUGCAUUUUUAACUACCGGGCUAGAGUGUGUCAGAGGGAGGUGGAAUUCCGCGUGUAGCAGUGAAAUGCGUAGAUAUGCGGAGGAACACCGAUGGCGAAGGCAGCCUCCUGGGAUAACACUGACGCUCAUGCACGAAAGCGUGGGGAGCAAACAGGAUUAGAUACCCUGGUAGUCCACGCCCUAAACGAUGUCAACUAGCCUGUUGGGGCCUUCGGGCCUUGGUAGCGCAGCUAACGCGUGAAGUUGACCGCCUGGGGAGUACGGUCGCAAG